AGAGGCAGAAACUCCAAUAGAGGGAGGAAGAGAGGAGAACCAGAGAGGGAAGGGUUCAGGGCCCAGACUGGCAGAGAGAGAGAAACACUACCAGAGACAGAGGCGGAGAAGCACAGGGCAGAGGAGGACAGGAAUGGAUGGGAGGAAAGGAGGAAAAAAGGAGAGAGGGAGACAGAAAUAAGGAAAGAAGGGAACAAGAGAGACUGAGAAGAGGAAAUGUACAGAGGAAGGAAAUGAGAAGGAAAGACAAGAGAGAAAGGGAGUAAAGAGAUCAAGGCAGGAAGAGGAGCAAGCCCCAGGGAGCCCUCAGGCCCUCCAGCCUGUUCCGCCUCCAGCAACCCCCUCCCCCAACUCCUUCUGGCCUGGCAACCCGCAGGCCAUGCUGGGGAGUGGGUACCAGGCGGCAGCGGAGCCGAGGCAGGAGAGUGGAAUGUCUUCGUGAUAUGUUUAUCCCCUAAUCAGUUCAUUAGUUAUAAACAACAUGACAUUAGAAGUUAGGAGGCAGUUGAUAUUAAUUUUUAUUUAACUAGUUGAUGUUUAAUCCGUCACGCCAGGCUGGGUAGCGGCGAGAAAGAUCUUCCUGACACAAAACCAGUUAGAACUUCAUAAGGCACAAUCAGUGUCCGCGCCUUGAAACAAACAAGAGAGACAGAGACAGAGAGACAGGGAGAGACAGAGAGACAGAGAGACAGUGGCAGCCCUGCCAGAGAUGGAGUCGGAGACAGAGACAGAGUGGAGGGCUGGGAGAGAGCUAACCCAGGGCAAGAGCUGGGGGAAAAUAAACUAGAAAGGCAGAGAGCUCAGACAGCUGGCAAGGGGCUGACAGCCCUGAACCUGGGCUCCAAGCCCAGGACAGCCCCGACUUAAUAGGGACCAGGAGACCAACGCCCUGGGAAAGUCCGGCCAGGGCAGUGGUGGGGUGGUCGACCAGGGCCCUGCCAAGCCUGGCCGCUGCAACUACUAGCGCCUUCCGACAAGGAAAGUGUUUAGUGUCCAUCGGUCUGGUGGGUGGCAAGGGUCUAAUGUCACAGCGAGGCGAGGCCCUGACUUUCGGAAACUCCUCUCCCAGGUCUGGAGGCCAAGAACUUCUUCCCUCCCUGCUCCAGGAGGAGCCGGCCCAGGCAAGAGAGGAAAGGAGAAAAGGGCGUGAACUUUGCACCCAGCGGUUCAAGUUUCACAAAGUUUGUUGCGGUCACAGACAGAGAGGGGUGUGUGUGUGUGCACGUGUAAGCUCGCCAGUGGCAAAGAGGGAGGAAGUAAGAGACGGCGUGGGGAUUCUGCAGGCGGGGGAGGGCAUUUCCCCGGGUUUGACUAAGCCUUCAGGCGCGUCCCUGCAUGCGGGCUCCUCGGGUGGCGGCCCUGGCUGCAAGUCUAAGGUCCCCUUGGCUUGCCCGGAUUAAUCUCCCCCUCUCAACCCCGCCCCCGAGCAGGAGCACUCGGCUUUUUC
rnacentral:lncRNA from 1 species